rnacentral:rRNA from 1 species
AGCAGCCGCGGUAAUUCCAGCUCCAAUAGCGUAUAUUAAAGUUGUUGCAGUUAAAAAGCUCGUAGUUGAAUUUCGGGAUUGACGUGAUGGUCAUGCCUUAAGGGGUAUGAACUGUCACAGUUGAUUUCUCACCUUCUGGAGAAACUUGAUGUCCUUUAUUGGGUGUCUUGCGGAUCCAGGACCUUUACCUUGAAAAAAUUAGAGUGUUUAAAGCAGGCAUUUUUGCUCGAAUACAUUAGCAUGGAAUAAUAGAAUAGGACGGCAUGGUUCUAUCUUGUUGGUUUCUAGGAUCACCGUAAUGAUUAAUAGGGAUAGUUGGGGGCAUUAGUAUUCAAUUGUCAGAGGUGAAAUUCUUGGAUUUAUUGAAGACUAACUACUGCGAAAGCAUUUGCCAAGGAUGUUUUCAUUAAUCAAGAACGAAAGUUAGGGGAUCGAAGACGAUCAGAUACCGUCGUAGUCUUAACCAUAAACUAUGCCGACUAGGAAUCAGACGAUGUUAAUUUUUUAAUGACUCGUUUGGCACCUUACG